UACAGAGGUCCCGAGCGUUGUUCGGAUUCAUUGGGCGUAAAGGGUGCGUAGGCGGCGCGGUAAGUCGGGUGUGAAAUCUCGGAGCUUAACUCCGAAACUGCAUUCGAUACUGCCGUGCUUGGGGACUGGAGAGGAGACUGGAAUUUACGGUGUAGCGGUGAAAUGCGUAGAUAUCGUAAGGAAGACCAGUGGCGAAGGCGGGUCUCUGGACAGUUCCUGACGCUGAGGCACGAAGGUCAGGGGAGCAAACGGG
rnacentral:rRNA from 1 species